rnacentral:rRNA from 1 species
GAUGAACGCUAGCGGCAGGGCCUAAUACAUGCAAGUCAAGGGGCCAGUAUGGCACCGGCGGACGGGUGCGUAACGCGUACACAACGUUACCCUUUGGGGUGGGGGGAUAGCAUCGGGAAACUGGUGGUAAUACCCCAUGGUAUUGGAGACUGGCAUCUAGUUUUUAUGUUAAAGAUUUAUUGCCAGAAGAUGGGUGUGCGUAUGAUUAGGUAGUUGGUAGGGUAACGGCCUACCAAGCCAACGAUCAUUAACUGGUGUGAGAGCACGACCAGUCACACGGGCACUGAGACACGGGCCCGACUCCUACGGGAGGCAGCAGUAAGGAAUAUUGGUCAAUGGACGGAAGUCUGAACCAGCCAUGCCGCGUGGAGGAUGAAGGUCCUCUGGAUUGUAAACUUCUUUUAUAGGGGGCGAAAAAAGGCCAUUCUUGGUCGUCUGACGGUACCCUAUGAAUAAGCACCGGCUAACUCCGUG